UACGUAGGGGGCAAGCGUUGUCCGGAAUCAUUGGGCGUAAAGAGCGUGUAGGCGGCCUGGUAAGUCCGCUGUGAAAGUCCAGGGCUCAACCCUGGAAUGCCGGUGGAAACUGUCAGGCUCGAGUCCGGAAGAGGCGAGUGGAAUUCCUGGUGUAGCGGUGAAAUGCGCAGAUAUCAGGAGGAACACCGAUGGCGAAGGCAGCUCGCUGGGACGGUACGGACGCUGAGACGCGAAAGCGUGGGGAGCAAACAGG
rnacentral:rRNA from 1 species